UACGGAGGGAGCUAGCGUUGUUCGGAAUUAUUGGGCGUAAAGCGCGCGCAGGCGGCCUCCUAAGUCCGAUGUGAAAGCCCACGGCUCAACCGUGGAGGGUCAUUGGAAACUGGGGGACUUGAGUGCAGGAGAGAAGAGUGGAAUUCCACGUGUAGCGGUGAAAUGCGUAGAGAUGUGGAGGAAUACCGAUGGCGAAGGCAGCCCCCUGGGAUAACACUGACGCUCAUGCACGAAAGCGUGGGGAGCAAACAGG
rnacentral:rRNA from 1 species